AAUGAACGUUGGCGGCGUGGAUUAGGCAUGCAAGUCGUGCGAUAUUCCCUCGCAAGGGGGAUGAAAGCGGCGAAAGGGAGAGUAACGCGUGGAUACCUACCCUGGGGACCGGGAUAGCCGCGGGAAACUGCGGGUAAUACCGGAUAACGUCUUUGGACCAAAGGUGUGAUUCCGCCCUGGGAUGGGUCCGCGUCCUACUAGCUAGUUGGCAGGGUAAUGGCCUACCAAGGCGAUGAUGGGUACGGGGUGUGAGAGCAUGACCCCGCUCACUGGGACUGAGACACUGCCCAGACGCCUACGGGUGGCUGCAGUCGAGGAUCUUCGGCAAUGGGCGCAAGCCUGACCGAGCGACGCCGUGUGCGGGAUGAAGGCCUUCGGGUUGUAAACCGCUGUCAGAGGGGAGGAAGUACCGGGAAGUAAUACAUAAUCGACCCGGUUUGACCUAUCCUCAGAGGAAGUACGGGCUAAGUUCGUGCCAGCCGCCGCCGUAAAAC
rnacentral:rRNA from 1 species